CCUCCAUCGAGUUUUAAACCAGUCUUUCAUACUUGAUAGCUAAUAGCUUUUGGGAAAGAACAGUUUAAUACAUUUGAUUUAUUACCACCGAAUGUUUGGAAAUACCGAACAAUAAUAUACUAGGGGCACCCAUUCUGUUGAUACACACUACCGGUCAAAGGUUUUAGAACCUGGAUGGCUACUUUGAAGAAUCUCAAAUAUAAACUAUACUUACACAUUUUUGGUUACUACAUGAUUCCAUAUGUGUUAUUUCAUAGUUUUGAUGUCUUCACUAUUAUUCUACAAUGUAGAAAAUAGUAAUAAAUAAAAAAAACUCUUGAAUUAGUAGGUGUUUUAAAACGUUUGACCGGUAGUGUAGAUAGAUUAGCUAGCCUGGAUUUAGCUAGCCUGGAUUUUGAAUUGUGUACGGAGUGGCUCAUUUGUGGAAUACAAUAGACCUAGUUAACGAGCUAAAUUAGCUCGCUAUUAUUUUUAUUUAUAUAAACCAAUGCGCUUGCAUUUGUUUCAUUUUUUGAUUUCACAUCUGUUCGUGCACCAGAUUGGAAUGAAAGGUUUGUUUGCUCAAGUGCCAAGGACCUGAAUUCGACUGUGUGGCGGAUCCUACCCUUGCAUUCUGUCAAACCGUCUUGCCAUCGCCACAACCUGGACUAAGGGCAGGGGAGGUGGCCUGUUUCAGGGACUUGUUUCUGAAGACCAUUUCUUCACAGAGCCAUUCAGGAGAACCCUGCAACCCGGGAUGCUGAGUAGCUAAAACGGGCAUCCGAUUGUGAAGGCGGGAGGCGGCGUCGCACAAGGGAGAGGAAUCCACUGCAUUGAGGUUCAACAUCAAGUCUCAGACCACCUGUCUCAAAUCCAGCCUCUACCCACAAGCCACAAGACUGCUCCAACAGCUGAACCCUGGGCUGACUACUGCACUCUACCACACACUUACCAUUUACUCAUAUUAUGUACACAUUGAAGUCAGUUUAUUCUACUGGAACCAUGCAAUAGUUAUGUCACCUUACUGCACUACUAAUGUAUUGUAUAUACGUUCAUAUAAUUCUAUGAUGCAACUGCACUGUAAUUAUCCCACUCACUAUGCACAUGGGCAAACAAAGCUUCUAUAUCCCUAUAGGAUAUCGCUUUUAAUCUUAUUUUUGUUUACAUCUUAUUUCCUUUUAGCUGCGUGCCUCUUGUACUUGAUUUAGUUUAUUUAGUUGUUUUUAUAAGUAUGUUAUAUUUAUGUCACUUAUUUGAUUGCUUUCCUAUGUUACUUAUUUGAUUACUAUGUCGCUUUUGAGAAGCCUGCAAGUCCAUGACAAUAACAUUUGAUUUGACUGGAUUUGAUUUGUCGUAACCUGUGGAUCCAGGUGACCAGGACUGGCCCUUGUUAUCUGAUAUAUUUUGCACACACAAUCAUUUACAAUACUUUUCCACAAACUUUUAUCAAAUAGACAUGGCAUCCAAUUGACCUUAAAUAAAAAACUAUAAAUACAAAAUAAGUGGGUACAUAAAAAAGCAUCUUGCCUCUGACUGGCAGCCGUAGUGUCGCCGGGCAGGAGAAGAGCAGUUGGGCUGUGUAAGGAAACGGCAGUCACGGCAGACAAAGCGGCAUAUCGCAGGCGCCCCGUGAAUGAGGAGAUUGGCAAAAAAAAUCUGUCGCACAUCGCGGGACCACUCUUGAGGGAUGCCAGGCUCCUGCUCAUUGCUAACUGGGUUAAAUACAUUGGGGCUACAAUUACUAUAUAGGAGUCACUUUAACAUUUUACUGCACCGGGCCAAAUCAGAGUUACACAGAGUGAUUCUUGGUAGUCUUAAAUCUAUUUUGAAACAAAAGUAUACACCUGGGCUUAAAAAAAAGAAGACACCUGUACCAUGAGUUGAAAUGUAUUCAAUUUUGAGUUUGCAUGCCAAUAUUACACUUUAUAUACAUCACAGAGGACUGAAAUAACCAAACUGUUUGUAAUAGAAACACCAUCUUUUCAUAAUGUUUUAAAGAAUAAUCUUUAUUAAUGAUGCUGAAACUAUGAAAAAUAUUAAUAACAUUCCACCCAUGAGGCCAAAGAGGGCGCUUUUGGUCAUUGACUGCUGGAUAGGGUUACAGACAGGAGCUACCGUACCUUAAAGACAUGUAAUAUCCUGCUAGGAUAUAUUGUGUUCUGUGUGAUUACGUCUAGCCUAUCACAUGCUGCAUCAUUGGCAUAAAGGUCACGGAAGUUUACGUCAAGCUCACAUCCCUUUUGGAUCAAGAUGGCAAAAUAAAUAAGUCAAUAUUUGUUGUCAUUCCCUUUCUUUUAAUUAGACACUAAGAGUGACAGUCAAGUCAUUGUGCGUUCCAACACCGAGGAGGGAUUGGGAUUAAUCAAUUUGACCUGACGAGGGUCGAGCUAAUGCUCUCUGGACCGAUAUGUACUAAGAACAAGAACGGGGGGGAAAGGACGAUAUGUAUUUAACAUGUGGACACAAACGCAGAUGCAAAGGUACUGGAAACGUAUUACGACAAGAAUGAGGAAUACGUCAUUCCCAAUGCAAACCCGUUUUUUGCUAGAUACAAGUUUCAAGAAAAGCUACAAGGUGUUAGCGAGUCCGUCAAGCAUUUUGUUACCCAGCUUAUGCCUGCCUAUACCAUACAUUAAAGAUUUGGGAGCCACCUCAACGACAUGGGCGCCACCUCAACGACAUGGGCGCCACCUCAACGACAUGGGAG
ensembl:lncRNA